rnacentral:rRNA from 1 species
GAUGAACGCUGGCGGCGUGCUUAACACAUGCGAGUCGAACGAUGAAGCCCAGCUUGCUGGGUGGAUUAGUGGCGAACGGGUGAGUAACACGUGAGCAACCUGCCCCUGACUCUGGGAUAAGCGCUGGAAACGGCGUCUAAUACUGGAUAUGUCCCGUCACCGCAUGGUGUGCGGGUGGAAAGAUUUUUCGGUUGGGGAUGGGCUCGCGGCCUAUCAGCUUGUUGGUGUGGUAAUGGCUCACCAAGGCGUCGACGGGUAGCCGGCCUGAGAGGGUGACCGGCCACACUGGGACUGAGACACGGCCCAGACUCCUACGGGAGGCAGCAGUGGGGAAUAUUGCACAAUGGGCGAAAGCCUGAUGCAGCAACGCCGCGUGAGGGAUGACGGCCUUCGGGUUGUAAACCUCUUUUAGCAGGGAAGAAGCGAAAGUGACGGUACCUGCAGAAAAAGCACCGGCUAACUACGUG